rnacentral:rRNA from 1 species
GCGGGGACUGAACCGGCAAAAGCUCAAUUUUGAAUCUCUUUGAGAAUUGUAAUCUGAAAUCUAUAGGCUAAAAAUAACUUUCAUUCAUAACUAUUAUGGAAUGAAUGAUCAUAGAGGGUGAAAAUCCCGUGUUUGGUUUGAAGGUUAUUAAAAAGUUAUAGAUGUUGAGUCGGGUUUUUUGGGAGUAAAGCCUUAAUUAGGAGAUAGACUUCUUCUGAAGCUAAAUAUGUUUGGGAAACCGAUAGCGUACAA